ACAGACUUUCUCAUGGAACGAGACGGAUUCGUUCUCGCGGAAGAUGACGAUGUGGAUCCCGCCAAAGCCGGAGGGGGGCAACAGACUGCAGAGUCUGUCAAUGCAGCGGUGGCUGAGCUUCUCGGCGAGCA
rnacentral:SRP_RNA from 1 species